rnacentral:rRNA from 1 species
CUAACAAGGAUUCCCCUAGUAACGGCGAGUGAAGAGGGAAGAGCUCAAAUUUGAAAUCUGGCAGUCUUAUGGCUGUCCGAGUUGUAAUCUAGAGAAGUGUUUUCCGUGCUAGACCGUGUACAAGUCCAUUGGAACAUGGCGUCAUAGAGGGUGAGAAUCCCGUCCAUGACACGGUGACUAGUGCUCUGUGAUACACUCUCAACGAGUCGAGUUGUUUGGGAAUGCAGCUCAAAAUGGGUGGUAAAUUCCAUCUAAAGCUAAAUACAGGCAAAAGACCGAUAGCGAACAAGUACCGUGAGGGAAAGAUGAAAAGCACUUUGGAAAGAGAGUUAAACAGUACGUGAAAUUGUUGAAAGGGAAACGCUUGAAGUCAGUCGCGUCUUCAGAAAUUCAGCUAGUGNNNNNGUUCACUAGUGCACUUUUCUGUUGGACGGGCCAGCAUCAGUUUCAGCCACCAGAAAAGGGUGAGAGAAAGGUAGCAUCUCCGGAUGUGUUAUAGUCUCUCACUAUAUGGUGGCAGGGAUCGAGGAAUGCAGCACGCCCUUGUUGGCCGGGGUUCGCCCACGUAAC